UACGAAGGGAGCUAGCGUUGUUCGGAAUCACUGGGCGUAAAGCGCACGCAGGCGGAUUUGCCAGUCAGGGGUGAAAUCCCGGGGCUCAACCUCGGAACUGCCUUUGAUACAGCAAGUCUUGAGUUCGAGAGAGGUGGGUGGAAUUCCUAGUGUAGAGGUGAAAUUCGUAGAUAUUAGGAAGAACACCGGUGGCGAAGGCGGCCCACUGGCUCGACACUGACGCUGAGGUGCGAAAGCGUGGGGAGCAAACAGG
rnacentral:rRNA from 1 species